rnacentral:rRNA from 1 species
AUUGAACGCUGGCGGCAUGCCUUACACAUGCAAGUCGAACGCGAAAGCGGGGCAACCCGCAAGUAGAGUGGCGAACGGGUGAGUAAUACAUCGGAACGUAUCCAGUAGCGGGGGAUAACC